rnacentral:rRNA from 1 species
UACGUAGGGUGCGAGCGUUAUUCGGAAUUAUUGGGCGUGAAGCGUGCGCAGGCGGCUUUGCAAGACAGAUGUGAAAUCCCCGGGCUUAACCUGGGAACUGCAUUUGUGACUGCAAGGCUGGAGUGCGGCAGAGGGGGAUGGAAUUCCGCGUGUAGCAGUGAAAUGCGUAGAUAUGCGGAGGAACACCGAUGGCGAAGGCAAUCCCCUGGGCCUGCACUGACGCUCAUGCGCGAAAGCGUGGGGAGCAAACAGG